CUUUAUUUCCAUAUUUAAUUGCAAGAGAUUACUCUCAAAUGUAUUUCUGAAGCAGGUAUAAAGAACAAUGUUUGCUAGUAAGUUUCCCAUAACUUCUUUUCAUUGAGAAAAGAGUAAAAAAGAGUAAUGAUAUUGCACUUCUGCUGACUACUCUGCCUGACUGAUUCACAGGGUAUUUGCUCUUAACAUGUUGUAGGAGUUAAAAAAAAUGUGUCAAACUUUUUUUGGCACCCAGCUCCAGUAGAUUCUGUUAGAAGAAACAUAUGGCCUCACACUAACAGUGUUAAAGCACUGCUGAAGUAUUGCAUGCAUGACAUUGACAAAUUUCCUCUAGGCUUUUUGUUUUCUGUGCUAUUAAGCAUUCAAAGUCCACUAUUUCAUUACCACUGAUGAUACAGAGAGCCUUAUUGACAUUCUAUCCAUCUGUUCAUAACAUGCAUUAUUAAAUGCGAAGCAACUAGUAGGUAAGAGUGCUCUUGCCAGCUGUACAAUGAAUUCUCAGUAGUUUGGUGCCCUCUAUAAAUUUUCUAGUAUUCUGCCAGUUUCUCAACAUAAUUUGCAAUGGAGGUAUUUUUUAAUGUUUUGCAUUGUACAGAGAAAAGUUGCUUCAAAAGAAUAUUUUUUUAUCCCUAAUGUGAAACAUUUAGAUAUAGUUUCAAAAAGCCCAAGAGUCUUUUAAUAUACAAAUUGUUGCUAAUAUCAGAUCUCACUAACCACAGUUUCUGUGUUUUUCUUUUUUUUGGUUUUUUUCCCUAGGAGCAAAUCUGCUGCAUUACCUUUGAACAGGACAAUGGGGACCCAAUGAGUCACCCUAUUCAUAUAUUUUUGGAACCCAGAGGAAUUGGUUUGACUAUUUACAGAUUAUAACAGUUGAGGAAGAGCCUGAGGCUGGAGCUUGCCGAGAACACCAUGUGGAAAUGGUUUGCUCAGCUGCCAUUGCUCCACAGGGAAAGUGAGGGAUCUGAACAGGAUUCAGCUAAAUGGUUCCCACUGGCUGCUUUAAAGACCCAAAGGCUGUGACCAUGUGAAAUGCAGGAAUGCAUAGUUUUGGCCAUCCCUUCAACCUCAGCUCCCCUGUAAGGCUGCCUCUCUCCUCACCAGGAAAAUGCAGAUCCUGAAUGCUGAGCACUGGCUUUCCUGAAAACAGUACAUGUUUGAACAUGGAGUAAAACCCCUUGGAAACUCUCUACAUUGAUAUCCUUAGAGAGAUGUGACUUCUUUGGUUGAUCCAGGGGAAAGAGAAACCAGGACAAGAAGACAAGUCUCCAAAGGUAAGAGCUGCUUUUUAUUGGGCAAUUCAGCUGGACCUGCCCAAUGAGGAUGGCAGCAGGGAUUGAGCAUAUGAUGAGAAUGCUUCAGGAUCAGCCUGCUAUGGUUAUGGUUAUACACAAGGCUCUGACUGCAGUACUAUCCUGAGAAAGCAGCUCAUGGA